CUUUUUUUUUCCUUCCUUCCUUCCUUCCUUCCUUCCUUCCUUCCUUCCUUCCUUCCUUCCUUCCUUCCUUCCUUCCUUCCUUCCUUCCUUCCUUUCUUCCUUUCUUUCUUCCUUUCUUUCUUCCUUUCUUUCUUCCUUUCUUUCUUUCUUUCUUUCUUUCUUUCUUUCUUUCUUUCUUUCUUUCUUUCUUUCUUUCUUUCUUUCUUUCUUUCUUUCUUUCUUUCUUUCUUUCUUUCUUUCUUUCUUUCUUUCUUUCCUCCUUCCUUCCUUCCUUCCUUCCUUCCUUCCUUCCUUCCUUCCUUCCUUCCUUCCUUCCUCCCUCCCUCCCUUUCUUUCCUAUCUCUGAAUCAAUCCUGUGUAUUGGUUCCAAAAGGCUAGGCAAUGGGGGUUAAAUGAUUUGCCCAGGGUCACACAGCUGGGAAAUAUCUGAGAUCACAUUUGAACCUAGAACCUUCUGUCUCUAGACCUGCCUCUCUAGCCACCUUGCCACCCAGCUGAAGGGCAUCUAGCUCUUAAAAUGGAUAAAGCAACAGGUCUGGAGUCAGGAAGACCUGAGUUCAGACACUUCCUAGCUGUAUGACCCUGGGCAAGUCACUUCACCCUCUUUGCCUCAAUUUCCUCAUCUAUCAAAUGAGCUAGAAAAGAAAAUUGCAAACCACUCCAGUAUUUUGCCAAGAAAUUCCCCAGGAGGCCCAUGAAGAGUUGGGCAUGACUGAAAAAAUGACAAAAACCCAACAACAACAGGCAGGUAAGAUAUUCACUGUAUUUUACCCACCAGGAAACUCAAGUUCAGAAUGGCUUGCCUUCAGUUCCCACAGCUAGUAAGGGUUCCAGGAGGGCUUUAAAUCCAGGCCUCUCUUUGCUCACUCCAAGCCUGGGACUCUUUCCAGGACUCUAGACUGCUUCUCCCAAAGGGGUGAGCAGUUGCUGAGAAGGGGUGGUGGUUGGGAGGUAGGGAGAGGGCAAGAAUAGUUAAAAAACAAAUCUGAGACAGGAAAAGGUGGGCAUCCACUGACGAGAGCGUAGCCUUGGCUCCGCGGAGGCGGGAAGGACACGAAGGGCAGCGGAGUAACAUGGAGUCUGGAAACUAAGUAAGGCGUUUGGCUCUGCUGCGAGGCUAGAUCCUGAACCGGGAACGGAGGCGCUCCCUCCUCCGAAGUGAGCCCGAGGUCUUGGCUCAGGAGCACCCCGGGGCAGUUGCUAGGGCGACUGGUCCCGUUUGCCCCACCGGCUUCCCUACAUGGGCUGCUCUGAUUCCCAGAAGCCCCCACAGCCUCCUCAGGUCCACCCCACACAGUCAAUGACAGCGGAGCCAUCUCGGGAAUAAACACCAUAUAAGAGCAACCA
rnacentral:lncRNA from 1 species